GGCGGCGUGCUUAACACAUGCAAGUCGAGCGGUAAGGCCCUUCGGGGUACACGAGCGGCGAACGGGUGAGUAACACGUGAGCAACCUGCCCCUGACUCUGGGAUAAGCGGUGGAAACGCCGUCUAAUACCGGAUACGACCCGCCACCUCAUGGUGGAGGGUGGAAAGUUUUUCGGUCAGGGAUGGGCUCGCGGCCUAUCAGCUUGUUGGUGGGGUAACGGCCUACCAAGGCGAUUACGGGUAGCCGGCCUGAGAGGGCGACCGGCCACACUGGGACUGAGACACGGCCCAGACUCCUGCGGGAGGCAGCAGUGGGGAAUAUUGCGCAAUGGGCGAAAGCCUGACGCAGCGACGCCGCGUGGGGGAUGACGGCCUUCGGGUUGUAAACCUCUUUUACCACCAACGCAGGCUUCCAGUUCUCUGGGGGUUGACGGUAGGUGGGGAAUAAGGACCGGCUAACUACGUGCCAGCAGCCGCGGUAAUACGUAGGGUCCGAGCGUUGUCCGGAAUUAUUGGGCGUAAAGAGCUCGUAGGCGGCGUGUCGCGUCUGCUGUGAAAGACCGGGGCUUAACUCCGGUUCUGCAGUGGAUACGGGCAUGCUAGAGGUAGGUAGGGGAGACUGGAAUUCCUGGUGUAGCGGUGAAAUGCGCAGAUAUCAGGAGGAACACCGGUGGCGAAGGCGGGUCUCUGGGCCUUACCUGACGCUGAGGAGCGAAAGC
rnacentral:rRNA from 1 species